UGGGGAAUAUUGGACAAUGGGCGCAAGCCUGAUCCAGCAACGCCGCGUGGAGGACGAAGGUCUUCGGAUCGUAAACUCCUGUCAGGUGGGACGAACGGACGUCGGUGAACAAUCGGCGUCUCUGACGGUACCGCCAGAGGAAGCCCCGGCUAACUCCGUGCCAGCAGCCGCGGUAAUACGGAGGGGGCGAGCGUUAUUCGGAAUUAUUGGGCGUAAAGGGCGCGUAGGCGGCCUGGUAAGUCAAAGGUGAAAUCCCUCGGCUCAACUGAGGAAUGGCCUUUGAAACUGUCAGGCUUGAGGCCGGGAGGGGGUGGCGGAAUUCCCAGUGUAGCGGUGAAAUGCGUAGAUAUUGGGAGGAACACCAGUGGCGAAGGCGGCCACCUGGACCGGUUCUGACGCUGAUGCGCGAAAGCGUGGGGAGCAAACAG
rnacentral:rRNA from 1 species